AACGCUGGCGGCGUGCCUAACACAUGCAAGUCGAACGGAGAUAUGAUUUCGGUUAUAUCUUAGUGGCGAACGGGUGAGUAACGCGUGAGCAACCUGACCUUCAGAGGGGGAUAACACUUGGAAACAGGUGCUAAUACCGCAUAAGACCACGACCCGACAUCGGGAUGCGGUCAAAGGAGCAAUCCGCUGAGGGAGGGGCUCGCGUCCCAUUAGAUAGAUGGCGGGGUAACGGCCCACCAUGUCGACGAUGGGUAGCCGAGCUGAGAGGCUGAUCGGCCACACUGGAACUGAGACACGGUCCAGACUCCUACGGGAGGCAGCAGUGGGGAAUAUUGGGCAAUGGGCGCAAGCCUGACCCAGCAACGCCGCGUGAGGGAAGAAGGCCUUCGGGUUGUAAACCUCUGUCCUUGGUGACGAAACAAAUGACGGUAGCCAAGGAGGAAGCCCCGGCUAACUACGUG
rnacentral:rRNA from 1 species